rnacentral:rRNA from 1 species
UACGAAGGGGGCUAGCGUUGCUCGGAAUUACUGGGCGUAAAGGGCGCGUAGGCGGACAGUUUAGUCAGAGGUGAAAGCCCAGGGCUCAACCUUGGAAAUGCCUUUGAUACUGGCUGUCUUGAGUUCGGGAGAGGUGUGUGGAACGCCGAGUGUAGAGGUGAAAUUCGUAGAUAUUCGGCAGAACACCAGUGGCGAAGGCGGCGCUCUGGACCGAGACUGACGCUGAGGCGCGAAAGCGUGGGGAGCAAACAGG